rfam:Vigna angularis cultivar Jingnong 6 chromosome 1, whole genome shotgun sequence.
GAUAACAGAUUUGUGGCAGCCAAACAUCUACAGCGAUGAUGUUUUUUAUCCUUUGAUGUCGGGUCUUUCUAUCAUUUUGAAACAGAAUUCACCAUUGCAUUGUUCACCUAUCAAUAAGAAACAUGAGCUGAGAUAAGACCGUUGUGAAACAGAUU